GAAAGUGAUAAAUGCAGAAGAGCACACAUGCUAGGAGAGGUUGCAGCAGUUCACCUUUGCCUGAGCCUACUGGGAGCCUUUUCCGCUCCUCUUCUCCCUGCUAAAUUAACUGAGUGAUAGUACUUUGGAACUUUGAACUCAGUUUGCAGCAACUGAAGUAAGCUGGAGGACUAAAGAAGAGAGUGGGAGAAGAAGAAACAAAACUGGAACAUAUCAACAUUAGUUGACAUGGGUCAUGACAAGGAGCAAGGCAGAAUGGAUUUUAGAACACCCUUUUGGCAUCUUGAACAUAUCUGGGGUCCUUCAAUGAAGGCAAGGACUCGAACAAAUGAGAAGAAACAUGAAUCAGAAUACCUAUCCUGAUAAUACUCUGGAGACAGUAGCUAAGAAGAUCCUUGAGAAGAGGAUGGUGAUGUGGUCGAUGGUGAAUAUUAUUUCUGUGUAUUAUGGCAAAGGAUCCUUUACCAGAGAAAAGAGAUCUCUGUGCUAACUGAAAUGCAUAUUUGAGUCCCGUGAAUCACCCCAAAAACAAGACAGAAUGUCAAGAGGGAUUGUCAUUUUUCCAUACUAGUUUUUGGAUGUGUCAAUUAAAUUGAAUGGUUUGUUUUGUAAUUAUUCCAUUAUCCUGUGGAAGAACUUCUAUGGUCAGCCUGAGUGGAAAUGCAUUUUUGGCAGUGUAUGAAAUCUCUUUAUGUGUGAGUGUGUACAUUUCACUGAAUAAGCCCUUGGUAACAUAAUAAAUGUACAGUAUUAGGAUUAAUAAGUUGCUGGCAGAUUUAAUUUCAUUUGCUGAAAUAUUUUAUCCUCUAUGGCUGUUUCUAUCUUGGUUUUAUAUAAUUUUUAGUCCGCACUUUAGUCUAUUAUAUUAGUAUUUUAUAUUUAAUAGAAUGUACAUUGCACAGAUAAUUUUGUUUCAUGAGCUAUUUAUAGUGCAAUAAAACAAGAAAAUAAAUAAUGGUAACUAUUUUGCCAAUUGAAAUAAAAUGCUUCCCCAGUGUUCUAGUCAUGUUUAGUACUACAAU
rnacentral:lncRNA from 11 species